rnacentral:lncRNA from 13 species
AAUCACAGCUCUAAAUCUUUUCACGAAGUUGAAGACAGACGUUUUACUGUGGGAGCCAUCUCAUCUUUAUCUGAGAGGAAAUGAGGACACAGACACACACAGAGGGAAGAUCGUAGGAAGACGUGGGAAAAAGAUGGAUCUGUACCACUCAAGGAGAGAGGCCUCAGCAGAAACAACCCUGCGAUGUCUCGAUUUUGGAAAUCUAGCCUCCAGAACUUAGAGAAUAAUAUUCCUGUUGUUUAAGCCGUCUGAUUUGUGGAGCUUGGUUACAGCCACCCUAGCUGACAAAUCCAGUGUCCUUUUGAACUUAGGAGCAUGACUGGAUGACUCAUUCAUUCAGUAUCAGCACCAACCAAGUAGAAACCAUCAAAGCAACUGGGCGUGAUGUGUCAGCCUGAGUCAAAGCGGGUAAAGAGGCCAAGAAUUCCCAAGCUUUCCCAGGCAAGCGGGGAAGAACACUGGGACGCCUUUUCCUCCUCCUCUGUCCAUCUUCAGGCCAAGUGUGCAUCGGUCACAGGGAAACUCUGAAUCGAGCUUUGUGCAAGCCCCUGGAAAGAGACCCAAGAUCGUGUGAUGAGCAACAGUGACAGUGCUGGUGGCAGUGCCAUCUGCAGAACCAGCCCCAUCCCUAUCUGCAACAGAAUAUGCAGGGGCAUCCUUUAUGCAAACAAUCCCCCCGGGGUAGAAUGGGGCUUUUGACAUCAGCUGAGACCCAGGCUGCCUUACAAUGAGAGGCCUGUUGGUCAAAGGAAGGACUGUUUAAUGAACUGAGAACCUGAGGCCAGCUCUGGCCAUCUGCACUUAGAAUCAUAGAGCAACGUGACUGUAACUGGCAACAUUGAAUAAUGCAACAAAUUCAUAUUUCAAAAUUGUGAACUUUAAAAUUUCGUGUUUGUGUCUGUGAUGAAAAACAAAUAUACAUUUGAUACUACCAUUUGAUCAGUAAAGAAGCCUGAAAAAUAUCUGUCUUUGACUCGAAGGUCAAUAAUGAUGAUGGUUUUUCCCCUGCACUGGGAUAGAAAUGUUCUGU